rnacentral:rRNA from 1 species
AGCGCAGGUGGGAAAGUAAGUCAGUCUUAAAAGUGCGGGGCUCAACCCCGUGAGGGGAUUGAAACUACUUUUCUUGAGUGCAGGAGAGGAAAGCGGAAUUCCUAGUGUAGCGGUGAAAUGCGUAGAUAUUAGGAGGGACACCAGUGGCGAAGGCGGCUUUCUGGACUGUAACUGACACUGAGGCUCGAAAGCCAGGGGAGCGAACG